UACAGAGGUCCCAAGCGUUGUUCGGAUUCACUGGGCGUAAAGGGCGCGUAGGCGGCCUGUUAAGUCGGACGUGAAAUCCCCGGGCUCAACCCGGGAACUGCGUCCGAUACUGGCAGGCUUGAAUCCGGGAGAGGGAUGUGGAAUUCCAGGUGUAGCGGUGAAAUGCGUAGAUUUCUGGAGGAACACCGGUGGCGAAGGCGGCAUCCUGGACCGGCAUUGACGCUGAGGCGCGAAAGCCAGGGGAGCAAACGGG
rnacentral:rRNA from 1 species